GACAGCCACAAAUCAAAAAACCAAAGAAAACAAACAAAGGGAGCAACAAGAAGCCUGGAAGAGGGGAAGAGAUGAGAAGACUCAAAGCGACUGAGGAGUCAGAGCAGCGUGAAAGAGGGCAGAAGAGCGCUGGAUGAAAUUUGUUAUCGUCUACUUUCCCCCCCUCACGUGCAGUUUGUCAUCAGUGACAGUGGAAUUAACCCUCUUAACUAUAUCUCAACCUCCACCGCUAAUCUCAGGCUCGCCCGAGCACCACUCCUCCUCCGGAUGACGUCCCCACAAACAAAUUAGCACGCAGCCUAAAGCAAAGGCACUCAGCUGGCAGCUCCGUCAGGGGAAAGAAGAGAAUGACACGUUUCCGACCGACUCCUAAUUGCCAACUGGUUUUGCGAUUUCUGACAGUUUAGGCUCGGCCAAGUUUCACAAAAAAACCAAAAAAAAAACAACCCCAAACUAAACAAACAAACAAAGAAACAACAAGAAGUUUCCGAUCAGCAGGAUGGAUGCCAGAGAACAGACGCUGAACCUCCUUGGCAGAAUCUGGGUCAAGCUUCAAGGUCUGCCCAACGCCAACCCCAUAGAGCUGGGAGCUUUCUUCGUCCUGCUAACUUUUAUUCUUGUAGUCCUGCUCAUCACAGUGGUGACCUGCGCGAGCUUCUGCUGCGGCUGCUGCAGCUGCUGCUGUCGCAAGAGGAAGCUAAAGGGUCCCGACCUUUGAGCAAAAACAGACACAACUGCAAGCUCUCCACACAGCGAGUCCUGAUCGUGUUUUAGAAACACACACACACAAGAAUUGUACAGGGUGCAUGCUGUGCAGCACUAAAGAACCUCAACCCUUGGACAACAAAACACCUGCCAAACACCGUAAAGGAUGUCCUGCAACGCUGCCAAACACACCUGCUCGAGUCAACAGGCUUUCAGGAGAGUCCACAUUCCUUGGAGCAUCACUGCACUCCCAACAGCGAUCCCUGAGGACAGGGCCGGGCCAACUCCAGCUGUGUGUGAAUCAGGCAGAAACUUCUUGGACCAUACAGGACUGAACACGUGUAUGAAACUAACUUUAGGCAAACAGUGAGAAAUGACUGGGAAUGCCCGAUUGGAUUGUUUUUUCUCAGAGCCUUCUAAACAUAAUGAUGUGUCACUCUAAAGUAAUGAGAACUGGCAGUCAGACUUCUGAGUUAGUCAAGAGCCUCAAGCAGGAAGCAGCUUUCAAAGGAUGGUAAGAGAGGAAAUCUGCCCUCUGCUGUCCAGAAACAGAAAUGCACUCUUUAUCUAAAACUGCACGUUACAUACUGUGGAACAGGUGAAGGCGUUGUGUUGUGAUGUAAUGCUUUAAGCCUGCACUUAUUGUCAGUUAUGCUUUGAUCUGUAUGUAAAUAAUAAUAAAAAUAACAAUAAUUAUAA